CUUAACCCACCUAGUCUCCAAAAUUUUUAUUGGUUCCAGCAUAAUUUCCCCAUUAUCAUCUAUAGGCAGCAAUUCUGAGAUAGUGGCGUGUGUUUCCCCAAUGUGUUUUUUAAGCAGCGACACAUGGAAGACAGGAUGGAACCUUGACCCCUUAGAGUUUGUAUGCAACUUUCCCAAUUCUUGCUUCAAUGGAAAUGGUCCAUUAAAAUAGCUAGCCAACUUUUGAUAAGCUCGCUUAUACACCGUUUGCUGCCGAUAAGGAUGAAGUUUGAGGUAAAUGAAAUCUCUCACUUGCAGCUCAACAUCGCGCCUUUUGGAAUCAGUUGUUUGUUUCAUUCGAUUGACUGUAGAAGAUAAGUUGCCCUUGAAUUGCUGUAGAAUUGCAUCUCGCGUUGCCAAUGAUUUAUCUACUUCAUGAACAGGAGAGUGACCGUUUCGUAUUGGGGAAUGGUAGGUGGAGGUCUGCCAUAAAGUGCUUGAAAUGGAGUCAUUACAAUAGAACUGUGGUAAGUGGUAUUGUACCAAAAUUUAGCCCAAGGUAAAUAAGAACUCCACUUGCGGGGCUGUUGCGCAACAAAACAUCGAAGAUACUGCACAACACAUCUGUUAAUUACUUCAGAUUGGCCGUCGAUCUCCAGAUGAUAAGCAGAGCUCAUAUUAAGUUUAGUACCUGACAGUUUGAAGAAUUCUCGCCAAAAAUGGCUGAUGAAAAUAGGAUUUCGAUCACCAACAAUUGACUUGGGCAUUCCAUGAAACUUCACAACCCCUUCCAUAAAUUUUUCAGCAACUACUUUGGAGUAUAAGGAUGAGAUAGAGUUAAAAAAUGUGCAUACUUGCUUAGGCGGUCAACCACUACCAAAAUAGUGUUCCUACCCAUGGAUAGGGGAAACCCUUCGCUGAAAGCCAUGGUAAUGUUACAGAGCAAGAAGAUAUAUAUUGUUGCCAAUAAAAUUGUUGAGCCACUCUCUCUCUUAUAUGUUCGUAAGACACCUGAGUGCCUCUCGCAUGGGGAGUCGUGAAAUUCUUGCAAGAGCAAUUUCACCAGAUUAGAAUUAGGAGGGAUAACCACACAAUUCUUAUAAUGGAUUAAACCAUUAUGCCACAUGUAUGGAGCUCUUGGAUUCUCAGUGGCAAAUUUCCCAAUGCGAGCUAUAUACGGAUGAUCCUUAGUUUCUGCCUUCACUGCAUUCCACAGAGUAGUUUGUGGAAGGAAUAAGGAAUUAAGGCUAGGGCUGCCUACUAUUCUUGAUAAUACAUCUGUAACAAAAUUUUCACAGCCCGGUCUGUAAAGAAUUUGAUAAUCAUAACCCAGCAGCUUAAAUACCCACUCCUGCUAUUCCGGCGUCACAAUUCGUUGUUCCAUCAAGUAUUUGAGGCUUCGUUGAUUAGUCUAAAUAAAGAACUUUCUGCCUAGCAAAUAUGAUCGCCAGGUGCGAAAAACUUGAAUAAUCACCAGCAUUUCUUUGGCAUAUGUAGACCAAGAUUACUUUGUAAUCCCCAAGGCUCGACUCAUGAAUGCUAUUGGUUUUUCUUCUUGCAUCAAGACUGCUCCAAUUCUACCAUUUGAAGCAUCAGUUGCAAUGACAAAUGGUUCAUUAAAAUUAGGCAUUGCCUGUAACGUCCCAAAAAUAAAAUAAAAUAAAAUAAAAUAAAAAAUAAAAUAAAAUAAUAAGAAUAAAAAAAACAGAAAAAAGAGAAAAAAAAAAUUAAAUUUUAAUUUAAGGACAAGUGCCAAUUUGCUAGCCACUUAACCAAAUAAAAAAAAAGAAAAAAGAAAAGAAAAGAAUGAAAGAAGAAAAGACUAGAAGAGAAGAGGGAUUUCAUCUUUCCCAUUUUCUUCUCUUCCCGUGAACAACAAUGAAACCCCAUUUCUUAUCUUUUCUAUUCUACACCAAAUUUCUUCAAAUUUCCACCUCCAAUCAAUUACCCAUUUUCUCCCAACACCUUUCCAAAGUAGAAUUUAAAGAAAAGAAGAGAAAUCAAAGAGAAAAUUCAAGGUUGAGAGAGAGUAAACAGUAACAAGUGUUGGAAAAUAUAAAGAAGAAGUGGAAGGGAAGAGUGGAAACUUUAAAGGGAAAUAAAAGGAAAAUUAGAAAAUUUUAAGCUUGUGGAAGAUUUGGAAGGUUUAAGGUUGUAGAUCCAAUGAGCAGUAGAUCAAGAUCUGCAUCAACCCUGUAAUACCCGGCUCGAGUCCGGCAUCGAAAUUCCUGUAGUCCGGUGGAAUCUCGGGUGUCGGAACCCUCGAGAAGGGUAAUGCAUAUGUAU